CCUACGGGUGGCAGCAGUGAGGAAUAUUGGUCAAUGGGCGAAAGGCUGAACCAGCCAAGUCGCGUGAAGGAUGACGGCCCUAUGGGUUGUAAACUUCUUUUAUCAGGGAAUAAAGGUAUCCACGUGUGGCUUUUUGCAUGUACCCUAUGAAUAAGGAUCGGCUAACUCCGUGCCAGCAGCCGCGGUAAUACGGAGGAUGCGAGCGUUAUCCGGGUUUAUUGGGUUUAAAGGGAGGGUAGGUGGUUGGUUAAGUCAGUGGUGAAAGUUUGCGGCUCAACCGUAAAAUUGCAGUUGAUACUGGGAGACUUGAGUGCAGUUGAGGUAGGCGGAAUUCGUGGUGUAGCGGUGAAAUGCUUAGAUAUCACGAAGAACUCCGAUUGCGAAGGCAGCUUACUAAACUGUAACUGACACUGAUGCUCGAAAGUGUGGGGAUCAAACAGGAUUAGAUACCCCUGUAGUC
rnacentral:rRNA from 1 species